ensembl:lncRNA
UUCUCACUUUACUCCGCACCUGCCAGCAUCACUUGGCAUCUGAGUUGAGUCCCCUCUGCAUCUAAGGUAGAAUAAAUCUGACAUAGGUGUCCUUGCCUCCUUUUAUCAAUCUUUGGUGGGGCGCAGAGGGCAGUGCAGGAAUAGCUCGGCUGCGUGUUUGCGUAUCUCUAUGAACGGAUCAGGGUGGGAAGUAUGGACAGAAGAGAGGUCCACUCUGCCUAUGUCUGCCAGCGAGUUCUCACACUUGUUGCGGUUGCUGCCCUUGUGAAGAGAACCGAGGACUCUGGACCUUCCAAAGUCUGCUAACCUCAAGGAAAGGAAAGAGGAAAUGACGGGCAGCUUCCACUGCAAGAAAGAAAAGCAGAAAUCCAGUAAGAAACAGAAGUUCUCUGGCAGUGCCUUGUUAUAGUUCCUCAAACUGGAACUGAAAGUCAGUGGGGUGUCAUAAAAAUCUCACAGUACUGGAAAUCAGGAGAUCAGGGUCGAGUCAUUGGCUGGCUUUGUCAUUGACUUGGAUAAGUCAUUUUUCUCCUUUGGAUUUUAGUUUCUUAACUAUAAAAUAAACAAUUUGGACUAAAACCCUGCACUCAGGAGUGUAGAAUGAUGGGGGUGUGUGUGUGUGGGGAGGGUGAGGUAUUUUUGGUGGACAUAUGAUUGAUGAGUAGCAUUUGUGUGUGUGUUGUGGGGGGUGGAGCCGGGGAUGCUAAAUGUAUUCAGUGCUUAAGACCACACAAUGAGAAACUGUCCCACUUAGAAUCUGGAAUGAUAAUUAAGAACCGCUUCAUUGCUAAAAUACUGUGAUUCUAUUCUAGCUGCAUGGAUUUGAAUCAUCCGAGUCACAUGAUGAAAAGAAAUGAGAUUCGGUGUAAAAGAAAUCAGAAGUAAUGUGUAUUAUAUAUUUCUAAAUGCCUGCCAAUGUACCUUCCCUGAAUGUCAAUGCAGUUUCUUUACCUGGAGCGCAUCUCUCACCACUGUCCCAGGAAGCAGGAGGGAGCUGGCCCCAGACAGGAAGCGUCCUCGGCAGUCACUCUGGGACAGGAAGGGAUUUAUUUCCACCUCAUUUCAGAAGAUUUGACAGAGAAAAUAGUCCUUCUGUGGAAACAGCAAAUGGAAGAUUGCUUUCAGCUAGGACAGGCUCCCCGUCCUCGGUGCUUAGUCCUGCCUGGUUUGUACAGCGUGCAGAAACAGUGGGGAAGAGACAUCAAACGGACGUGGGAAAACGUGAAGAAUGUUUAAUCCAGAGAACAGAAGUUUCCAGCAAGGCACCAGGAGCGGUUAAGAGUACUUCCUCCUCCGUCAGAUAAUGACAUUAGUAGCAACAAAAACACAACACAGAUGACAUUAUUGAACACUUAUCCUGUGCCAGACAUUCCUCCAGGUGUUUUUCUAAAUAACCUAUUCCGUGCUGGGUUGGCCUUCCAGCUGUGCCAGCCGCUAGCCGUGUGACAGCACUUCACCCCUCCAAGCCUUAGUUUCCCCAUCCACUAAACAAGGGUGUGGAGUCACCUAUGAAAAGCACUCAGCACCGUGCCUGGCUCCCACGAGUGCGCAGCGAGCGUUAGACCUUUGUCAUUCCAGGCUGUGGCGGGGCCAGGCUUGUUCUCUGUACCCCGGGGCUUAGUGACGAAGCCAGGUGUUAGAACCUCAGGAAAGAGGGACUCCAGCCCCAGGAGAAAUUUGCGGACCCAGCACUUCCAGGAUACGAG